rnacentral:rRNA from 1 species
GACGAACGCUGGCGGCGUGCUUAACACAUGCCAGUCGAACGGUAAGGCCCUGCUUUUGUGGGGUGCUCGAGUGGCGAACGGGUGAGUAACACUUUAGUAACCUGCCCUUGACUUUGGGAUAACUUCAGGAAACUGGGGCUAUUACCGGAUAGGAGCUCCUGCUGCAUGGUGGGGGUUGGAAAGUUUCGGCGGUUGGGGAUGGACUCGCGGCUUAUCAGCUUGUUGGUGGGGUAGUGGCUUACCAAGGCUUUGACGGGUAGCCGGCCUGAGAGGGUGACCGGACACAUUGGGACUGAGAUACGGCCCAGACUACUACGGGAGGCAGCAGUGGGGAAUAUUGCACAAUGGGCGGAAGCCGGAUGCAGCAACGCAGCGUGAGGGAUGACGGACUUCGGGUUGUAAACCGCUUUCGCCUGGGACGAAGCGUGAGUGACGGUAAUGGGUAAAGAAGCACCGGCUAACUACGUG